rnacentral:rRNA from 1 species
AGUGCAGCGAUGCAUUGAGCUAACCAGUACUAAUGAUCCGUGAGGCUUAACCUUACAACACCGAAGGUGUU